UCUCCGUAAAACCUGUAUACUUUCCCAGAAAUGUAAAAUAUAAAUAUACAUAUAUAUUCUCAAAACUUCAUUUUUACUAUCUCAACAUUAUCUCUUUAUCAAUCAUGCCAUGCCAUGUCAUCUCAACAUUUCUCAUAUUAAUUAUGCCAUGCCACAUCAUCUCAACAGUAAUAAGGUAUGAAUGCAUCAACAUAAUCAUAUCAGGUGCAAGAAAGUAAUCAACCGUAGGCCCUCUAAUAGCCCUAUACGGUUGAACCUAGAGCUCAAAAUCUAUCAUUAUCACUCUACCGGAGUCACCUCUGUGACCCGUCCGGCCUUCUGCACACAAGUUACGCUCUAGUGCUUCUCAUAAAUCAUUUGUGCACAUAAUCUAAGGUCACCCACCAGUCGGAAUCUCACUAACACUCUCGCGACUGGUCUGUCGUACCCACUCCGCGUGGACUGUACGACUAGCAUCUACUUGGAUCCAAGGCGAGCGUGCGAUGCGGUGAAUACUAUAAGCACUAAACCAUGGUGCAGGAUUUGAGCUCAAUAUAUAUCAUCAUCAUCAUAACAGUAAUUAAAUACUCACCUGUGCGUCCACCGCACCAUUUCAUACAUAUGCAUCAUAAAUCAAUUCUUACCUGUGCGUCCACCGCACCAAUUCAUACAUAUGCAUCAUAUAUUAAUUCAUGCAUGGCAUUUCAACUCACAUUUCUAUAUACUUUUCAUAUCAAUUCUAUGCAUGGUAUUUCACUUCCCGUUUUUCCACAUAACUCAUAUGCAUUUCAUUUUAAACAUAAUUCAUGCAUUUUCAAUUUCUGGGAAAACGUUAAGUAUAUAUAUAUAUACGGAAAACAAAACUGCCCACUCACCUGGAGUUCGUCCAACAACUCCCUAGCACCACACAUCAAGGCGUCACGACGAUCGCCGCCUAGAAUAGUAAUCAAAUCCAACCUCAGAAUUCAUAUCGAUAGAAUAUAUAACUUAUAUAAAAUACGUCACUAUGUAGUUCGAUCCGGAAGAUCUGCCACUCAGAUUUUAAAUCCAUAACUUCCAGAGGUCCACAAUAUAUCUCUAGGAUAACAUCCUAAAAUUUCAUUACCAUCCAACGGUCGGAUCUCCGUCAAUUUCCAAAACUAAGUGACGGUUAACAUUUUAUAUUAUGGACUUACAAUUCCAAUUCCGGAAGAUCCGUAACUCGAAUUCCCAAUCCGUAAGUUCCAAUAAUCCUCAAAUAUUACGUAUUACAACGUAUCAAAGUUUGGUGACGAUCCAACGGUCGGAUCAUCAAUUCACAUUUUCACCUAAAUGUGAAAACUAUAAAACGUUAUUUGAACACCUAACCAACAAUCCUCAAUAACUUUCUCAUACGGUGUUCAAUUUAGGUAUAUAAAUAUACCACAAUGAUCUACUCGACGUCACGGACGUCGACAUAUUUUUAAAAUAAUUUUAUUUUUAUUUUUUUAUUUUUACUGUAGCACCUUCUUCUUCCUUGGGUCGCCGGACUGGUUUUUCCGGCGGCCGUUUUCCGGGCAGUUUUUCAAAUUGCCAUAACUUUGUCAUUUCUCAACGAAAUCAAGUGAUUCAAAAACGAAAGUUGUAGCCCUUGAAGAGACAAAGAGAAUGGUACCUUUCACAACACCUAGUUCGCCGUGGUUUGGCCGGAAACUGCCUCGAAAGCCUCGGAGGUCGCCGGAAACUGGGUAUUUUUCAAAUGAGUAUAACUUCUUCAAUACUCAACGAAAUUGAGUGAAACAAAAAGGAAAGUUGUAGUACUUGACGAGACGAAGAGAUUGAUACCUACCUCGACUCCUAACUCGCCGGGUAUUCUCCGGAAAACACCUCGAAAGCUCCGGCCAAACUUUGAACUUGUCGAUCUCCGUGUUCUUACGUCCAAAAACUUCCAACGAAGCACUCCGAGCUUCCUUGGGACCUCACUAAGCUUGCUAUGAUCUUAUUUUGGCCUAAAACACAACCACUUCAAAGAUCAUGAAUAGUACACAUUCACGGGGUCUUUAGAACUAGGGUUUUUCGAAAUGAAACUUACCUGAAAAUGGUACCUACGUGAUCGUGAAGUCCUCAGGGUUGCAAUGGUAGUCUUAACUUGGACGUUGGUAUAGGUUUUAGGUGGUUUUGGUGGUUUUGGUGGUUGCCCGUGCGUUCGAGAAGAAGAGAGAGAAUGAGAGUUUCUGAGGAAGAGCUGAGGAAGAGAGAGAGUAUGAAGGACAGUAUACGGGAAAUGGGGAGGGUUUUGAGGUGUGGGGAUCCCACAUGUCCAAACCAAUCCCAAUUUCAUAAAAUUCCAUCAUAAAAUUUAAGUCUAAGUCUCCACUCCAAUUACCAAAUUUUUUUGGAGCUUAGAUAUAACGAACGUGAAAAUUAUACCUUAGUCACAUAUUAGGGACAUUUCCGUAAUUUCAUGUCCUCGGAAUUAAAAAUUCCGGCACGGGCUGUGACAAUCUCCCCUCCUUAUAGAAUUUCGUCCCCGAAAUUCCAGCAACCAACCAAAUCAUCUAUACUCAUACAAUAGCCUCGGAUAAAUCUCUCUCAUCCGAUUCUCUUUCUCCCACACAAUUUUCUACUGAAUGAUUUCCUUCACAAAGCUUUUACUACUUACUCUGUCUUAAUUCUUAGGACCUUCUUUUUCCAAUUCAAAGUCGACAUUAGUUCCUCACCAAUCAGAUCCGGCUUAAUUCUCAAUAGUUGCACCAAAGUCCCAUGUAACGACUCUGCCACUUAGUGACAACGCAUCGAACACAAAAUACAUUAUGUGCCUUAGCCAAUUCUGAAGGCAUCACAAACUUGUAUGCAACUUUAUUGAUUCCUUUAGUAAAAAAAAAAAUGGUCUGAUGUGUCUAAAUCUUAUCUUGUCUCUUUUCCAAUUUUUCAUUCUCGUCAUUUCUGUUCGCGGUGAAUUUUCCAAAAAUAUCAAACCAUUUACCUUACACACUCGAUUAGUGGCAUAUCCAUCUGUUGAUCUCUUUUGCCAUUCCUGGUUACUUCAGGUUAACUUAAUCACCUGAAUACUUUGAGGAAACUCAUCCAUAGUCUCAGGGUCUACUAAAACUCUUUCUUGAUCGAAUCCUUCUCUACCCAGAAACAUUCCAUUCACAAAGUCAUCAAAAACCGACUCACAUGACACAUUUCAUGAUCCUUAUGGCGUUACUUCGGAAACUGCACAACCAACAUACUUAAGAAACUCAGCAGUUCCGUAAACCAAUUCUCUUUUCCAUAAAACAAAUAAGUAAUGUUGCACUGUCUGGGAAAGGUUGUUACUCAACACUGGAGUAAAUGUACUAACUUGUUACUUAACAAGUAAUAACUUCUUCUCGAUCUUCCAUUCUUAAUUUUUCUUCCGUUGGUUUUCAAUCCACAAGAUGAUACUCUUGGCAAACGUGCCAGACAUUAAUCUUACUGUAGUCUUCUCACCAAGUGCUUGAGCUAGAACAAACUUUACGAUCACCCUGAUCGUACAAUCAUGUUCAUUAAGCAAUUCAAUCCACCUUUGUUGCCUCAUAUUGAAAUCCUUCCGAGUAAACAAAUAUUGGAGACUCUUUUGAUUUGUAAAAUCUUGCAUUCUUAUCAACAUAGAAUGUCUCCAUAACUUCACAGCAAGAAUGGUAAUCAUGACUUCCAAGUCACCCGUAGGGUAAUUCAUCUUAUGAGAUUCCAUUUAUCGUGAAACGUAUGCAAUCACCCUAACAUUUGCAUCAACAUGCAUCCAAUACCAUUCAAGAAACAUCACUAAAAAUUUAUGAUUACCACUAUUCUCUGGGAAUACCAAAAUACGUGCAUGAGUGAGGAAAUACUUCAGUUGUUGAAUCCUUUGCUCACAAUUUCCUUCCCACUCAUACAUAACCUCUUUUCUCAACAGUCUCGUCAAUGACAAAGCAAUGACUGAAAAAUCUUUCACAACCAUCCAAGAUAGCCUGGUAAGCUAAGAAAUUCCGAAUCUCAAUUACAGUUCGUGGUUGUUCCAAUUCCUCAAUUUCUGCUAUCUUUUAAGGAUUCACUUGAAUACCUUAAGAAUAUAUAACAAAUCUCAGAAUGCCACCUGAUUCAUCUAACUUUAGCAUUUGCUACUUAGCAUACAACCGACAUUCUUCCAAUCUUUAUUCCACCGACUUAAUACGUUUACAUGCUCUGCUCUGGCUCAGAAUAUGCCAGAAUAUCUUCAAUGAAAAUGAUAUCUAUUUAUCAAGGCAUUAUUGGAAUACUUCAUCCAAUAACUCAUAAAACAGCAUGAGUAUCCAUAUAGCAUCACCAUAGUUCAUAAAACAAUCUUAAGAACAACGUCGCUCAUAAUCUUUAAAUUGGUAAUAACCAGACCUCAAUUCAAUCUUUGAAUCUUCGCAAUUACUUCUGAGCUGGUUAAAUAAACAUCAGUACAUCACCAUGGAUAACGGUUCUCAAUCGUUACCCGACUCCAUUGUCUAUAAUCAAUGAACAGUCUCAAGAUCCAUUUUCUUCCUCACCAACAAACUGGGGCUCCUCAAAAGUGUUGUACUAGGUUGAAUGAAACUUUUAUCAACCAAUUCUUUCAACUGAAUUUCCAAUUCCCUUAACUCAUCCUGAACCAAUCUCCAAUAUAAAUUUAUACCUGGCAACAAAUCAAUAAUGAACCUCAUAUCUCUGCCUGAAGGCAAUCCAGGUAUACUUUCAAGGAAGACAUCAAGAAAAGUCUAACUCUUUCGACAUUAUUCACACUACUCCAAACAACAUCAUUUAGCACCACAUGAGCUAAGUAUUUUUGACAGUCUUUCGAAAACAAUCUCUUUGCUCUCACAGCAUAAAUAACGGCCUGACUCAAUCCAUUUUGCAUACUUACAAAAGUAAUCUCUGUUCAUCCAGAUCGAUGGAAAGUACUGGUUUCCCAUAACAUUUCGUCUUGUCACAAUUAUAACCAACCAAUCUAAUGGAACAGAAUUAACUGAUACAAUAUAUAUUUUAUUAUUAUUAAGCAUUCCAAAUAAGUACAAUACUAACAUAAAAUAAUCUACCGGGUUGCUUGCUUAACGAAUCCACGAAUGAGUUAUUAAUAUUACGGUCUGCAGCCCGCAAUACUGAUAAAUCAUCGUUGUCUCGAUAAGUAGGCAACCACUCUCAAAGAUAUAACAUUACUAUUUUGUCACUCAAUGCAAAAUACAUACACUCUCAUCUCAACUACAUUUAUUUACUACUCUCAAGGUAAUAACAUACAUAAUAAGAAAUAUAUCAGCCGAAGUCAACUAGAAUGACCAAUACGGCUGAUUCAACUCUUAUCUCAAUAAUACGUCGGCCGGAUCCACUCCGCGUGGUCGGUACGGCCGAGCCUAUAACUCACAAAUUUCGCAUGUGUCAAUCGAAUCCACUUCUCGUGGCCUGUACGGCUGAACAUAUAACUCAUCAAAUCUCUCUGUACUCACGGUCAAUCCGACCAAACUACUAAGUCCAUAACUCUGCUGAAUCGACACUAUGAUAUCAUGGAAAAUUAUUGAGUACAACUGAUUCUAGGGACGAUUCACAAUUCUGUGUCCCCUCUGUUCACAUAAACACAUUCAUUAAUUUCACAUUUCCCAAAGUGUUAAUUUUGUACCUGCUGCACAAGGUACAUUUCUUUUACUCGAGACACCUUGUCUCAAAUAUCUGGGAUUACCAGUAUAUCCAUCACUUUUACUCUGACCAACGACACUAAAACCUCAGCUGGAAGAAUUAACUCUAGCUUCACUUCUUUCGAAGCUCUGAAUCCUUCGAUAUUCUUGAUAUGACGAAUCAUUAACUUUAUCGUCUUCUUUUAAUUCCCAUUCUUUUCUUAUUCCUCUUCACUCUAGCUGAUCAUAUUCUCAGAGUCCUCAAGACUCAACAGCAUCUCGUAUAUUCUUGGUAAGAAGUACAAUGGAUAGUGGUCACCCAAAAUACCACUUCCCUUUUUUGCCACCCAGCUUAAAACAACAUAACACCUCCACCAAAUUAACAACAAUAUCUGGAUGGAACGAGGCAAGUCUGAAAACUUUCUAUAAUAUCCCUCGAUCAUCACCUUCCUUGUCUCAUAUUUGUAAACUCUUGUUUACUACCAUCGAUAAAUGCCGGAGGGAUAAACUUUUCCUUUAAACAAGUCCUUAAACAAUUCUCAAUCGACUGAUUCCUCUGGUGACAACAAUUCAUACUCCUGUUUCCACCAGGAUACAAAUUCAUAACCAAAACCAGGUAGUCGUCUCGACCCCUUGUCAGAAGGAAGAUUCCUUUGACUUGCAUAUUCCGAAACAUCUUUUCCAAUUGGUUAAUCCGUCACUUUGUUCCCUCAGGUUCAUCAUUUCUCUUAAGUGAUUCAAAUUCAACUCAUAACCCGUCUUAAAAUGUCCAUUUUUCUAAUAUACUGAAUCACCAUAAGAAUAGUUUCCCCUAACCCGCUAAAUCAGGGAGACUAAGUUCCUCUAACUACGUGGUUUGCUACGAGGCGGUGUAGUUCUGACAGAAUUCACUAGAACUUCUCAAAAUGUCCAAGAUUGCAACCAUGCUCUGAUACCAACUGACACACCCCGUCCCGAAGGAGGGCAUGCUGGCCGUCACGUGAGAGUGACGUAACCAUUUGCACAGUACGGAAGCUUUAAUUAUACAAUUUAUAAGUUGAUACACCCGAAGGUGAGUCCUAAUUUUGUCCAAUCUGUCAGAACCCCGCUGUAUUCCUCGUAGUCACCACACCUUUGUGAUUCCUGAACCUGGAGGGGCGCAAAACCAAAAUUGAGUGGGUCAGUAAAACAAUUCUUUUCCAAAUCCAAACAUUUCUCAAAACGUUGUAACCCCUCUCUCCGUAAAACCUGUAUACUUUCCCAGAAAUGUAAAAUAUAAAUAUACAUAUAUAUUCUCAAAACUUCAUUUUUACUAUCUCAACAUUAUCUCUUUAUCAAUCAUGCCAUGCCAUGUCAUCUCAACAUUUCUCAUAUUAAUUAUGCCAUGCCACAUCAUCUCAACAGUAAUAAGGUAUGAAUGCAUCAACAUAAUCAUAUCAGGUGCAAGAAAGUAAUCAACCGUAGGCCUUCUAAUAGCCCUAUACGGUUGAACCUAGAGCUCAAAAUCUAUCAUUAUCACUCUACCGGAGUCACCUCUGUGACCCGUCCGGCCUUCUGCACACAAGUUACGCUCUAGUGCUUCUCAUAAAUCAUCUGUGCACAUAAUCUAAGGUCACCCACCAGUCGGAAUCUCACUAACACUCUCGCGACUGGUCUGUCGUACCCACUCCGCGUGGACUGUACGACUAGCAUCUACUUGGAUCCAAGGCGAGCGUGCGAUGCGGUGAAUACUAUAAGCACUAAACCAUGGUGCAGGAUUUGAGCUCAAUAUAUAUCAUCAUCAUCAUAACAGUAAUUAAAUACUCACCUGUGCGUCCACCGCACCAUUUCAUACAUAUGCAUCAUAAAUCAAUUCUUACCUGUGCGUCCACCGCACCAAUUCAUACAUAUGCAUCAUAUAUUAAUUCAUGCAUGGCAUUUCAACUCACAUUUCUAUAUACUUUUCAUAUCAAUUCUAUGCAUGGUAUUUCACUUCCCGUUUUUCCACAUAACUCAUAUGCAUUUCAUUUUAAACAUAAUUUCAUGCAUUUUCAAUUUCUGGGAAAACGUUAAGUAUAUAUAUAUAUAUACGGAAAACAAAACUGCCCACUCACCUGGAGUUCGUCCAACAACUCCCUAGCACCACACAUCAAGGCGUCACGACGAUCGCCGCCUAGAAUAGUAAUCAAAUCCAACCUCAGAAUUCAUAUCGAUAGAAUAUAUAACUUAUAUAAAAUACGUCACUA
rnacentral:lncRNA from 1 species